rnacentral:lncRNA from 1 species
UGGGAUGGUACGGAACAAAUCCUUCAAUUCAUUGUUUUGAGAUCAAAAGUGGAUUGAUCGGAGUCAUAUGAGGUGGGAGGUCGUGUGUUCGAAGUCUAGGUAUCACAUGCCCAUGUAUUUCGCUCGAAAAAUGUGUGACUUAUGACAUGCGACAUGCAACCAUGAGGGUAGUACCUCUGUGUGGCCUCCAAGCCUAAAAGAAUUUUUUUUCUUUCCUAUCCAUGCCAGUGUGAUAUCCUGCAGACAGGCAUAAUGUGUUAUUUGUGGCAGCUUUGAUGCUGGCUUGAAU